AGUCCUCCAAGGUCACACAAGCUCUCCUUCAGUAUUUCAUGCCCAGACUCGGCCUACCUGCCUCACUACAAUCAGAUAAUGGACCUGCUUUCUUUUCUUCAAUAACUCCGCCGGCCUCCUCUCCUCUGAACAUCCAGUGAACUUACACACCCUCUACCGGCCAGCCCCAGUCUUCAGGCGAGCCCAUUCUAGCAUUCCCACCCACUUUCUCUGCAAGACUCUCAACCACUCAUCAGCUACCUCUUAUUGGACCACUUUCGAGCCUUCACCAACCAGUCUCUCGGGGAGAUCAUGCUGUGGCAACCCCUCAUUCCAACCAUGAGGCAUCUAUACGGAGUCCCAGCUGACUACAGUCAAAGCCCAUCCCCCUAUGAUCCUGACAUCUCCCCUCAGCUGGAAGCCAUAAAACAAAAAGGCUGGAAUGUUAGAUCUGAUCCAAUAAUCGAAUCCAUCGCCCCUUCCCUGGAAACUUACCUUAGACCACUUCACAACCAGCAUUCCCUGUCACUGAGACCCCAUCCCAAUGGCGAAGACCAUUAUCUUUCCCCUCCGAACUUUCCCAGGAUCCGUAUCGGCCCAGAGUUCCCCACUGAAAAAGCCCUCCUAGCAUCCUUUAAAACCUCUGUCUCCCCAUCCCUGGGAGCUGAUGCCAUUUUGGGGCUCAGCCCAUCUGGUCUCCGGAUGACCUAAUACAUUUAUAAUCCUGUGUCACUUUUGGCCUCGUGUGGUCCUCCUUCAGCAAUACUAACAGUGCUGACAUGGGUCACCUGGGGUUUACCUCCUGUUAACGGAAGCAGUGGAACUAUCCCAGUUUAUCAGAGGAAUACCAAUAAUGUCAAACCUCUCUAAAUUUGA